rnacentral:miRNA from 1 species
CUGACUCCCUGCUGUUCGCUGCCUGGUCUCUGAGGGUGAACGAUCUGGGGAGCUGUGGGGGGCGGGGUGGGGAGGGGAGAG